AAGUGCAGAAAUGAAGAUGCUCAGUACAGCUUUAUCAGAGAGUCUCUAGGUACAGCACCUUUUAUCUGGCCUGCUUUGUUUAGAGAAGGUGUGACGAGGUCUAAGGCAUUGAAUUGUGAGUGUUUGGGGAGAAAAUGGUUAUCUUCUUGGUUUUAUCCUUUUCCUGCAGAGUGUGUGUUCUUUGUCUCACUUUCUUGGGCACUUUAAUUGGGUUCUGAAAUGGCCCUGAGCCACACUAUUCAAACAGAAAUGCUCAGGUUUUGACUUUUUCUCUUCACCAUAUUUUGUUGUUUAUAUUUCUUACAGCCGAAAAACUAUCUAAACUAGCUGAUGGUGAAAAGACAACCACAGAAGAAUUGCUUGUUCUCUUAGAAGAAGGUACUUGGAACAGCAUUCAGCAACAGGAAAUAAAGAGGUUAUCCAGUGAAUCUAGCAGCCAAUGGGCAUUAGUGGUACAGUUCUGCAGGCUACACAAUAUGAAACUAAGCAUAUCUUACCUUAGAGAAUGUGCCAAAGCAAAUGAUUGGCUGCAGUUCAUUAUUCACAGCCAACUCC
rnacentral:sRNA from 1 species